GACGGUCCCAGUUCGGAUUGUAGGCUGCAACCCGCCUACAUGAAGUUGGAAUUGCUAGUAAUCGCAGAUCAGAAUGCUGCGGUGAAUACGUUCCCGGGCCUUGUACACACCGCCCGUCACACCAUGAGAGUUGGGGAUACCCGAAGCCUGUGAGCUAACAGUAAUGAAGCAGCAGUCGAAGGUAGAAUCAAUGAUUGGGGUGAAGUCGUAACAAGGUAUC
rnacentral:rRNA from 1 species